rnacentral:rRNA from 1 species
UACGUAGGGAGCAAGCGUUGUCCGGAAUCAUUGGGCGUAAAGCGCGCGUAGGUGGCCUCGUAAGUCCGCUGUGAAAGUCCAAGGCUCAACCUUGGAAAGCCGGUGGAUACUGUGGGGCUAGAGUACGGAAGAGGCGAGUGGAAUUCCUGGUGUAGCGGUGGAAUGCGCAGAUAUCAGGAGGAACACCGAUAGCGAAGGCAGCUCGCUGGGACGUUACUGACACUGAGGCGCGAAAGCGUGGGGAGCGAACAGG